rnacentral:rRNA from 1 species
CCUACGGGUGGCAGCAGUGGGGGAUAUUGCACACUGGGGGAAACCCUGAUGCAGCGACGCCGCGUGGGUGAAGAAGCGCCUCGGCGCGUAAAGCCCUGUCAGCAGGGAAGAAAAUGACGGUACCUGAAGAAGAAGCCCCGGCUAACUACGUGCCAGCAGCCGCGGUGAUACGUAGGGGGCAAGCGUUAUCCGGAUUUACUGGGUGUAAAGGGGGCGCAGACGGGGGUGCAAGCCAGGAGUGAAAGCCCGGGGCCCAACCCCGGGACUGCUCUUGGAACUGCGUGGCUAGAGUGCAGGAGGGGCAGGCGGAAUUCCUGGUGUAGCGGUGAAAUGCGUAGAUAGCAGGAGGAACACCGGUGGCGAAGGCGGCCUGCUGGACUGCAACUGACGUUGAGGCCCGAAAGCGUGGGGAGCAAACAGGAUUAGAUACCCGAGUAGUC